rnacentral:rRNA from 1 species
AACGAACGCUGGCGGCAUGCCUAACACAUGCAAGUCGAACGAAGCCUUCGGGCUUAGUGGCGCACGGGUGCGUAACACGUGGGAAUCUGCCCUUUGGUUCGGAAUAACAGUUAGAAAUGACUGCUAAUACCGGAUAAUGACGUAAGUCCAAAGAUUUAUCGCCGAAGGAUGAGCCCGCGUAGGAUUAGGUAGUUGGUGGGGUAAUGGCCCACCAAGCCGACGAUCCUUAGCUGGUCUGAGAGGAUGAUCAGCCACACUGGGACUGAGACACGGCCCAGACUCCUACGGGAGGCAGCAGUGGGGAAUAUUGGACAAUGGGCGAAAGCCUGAUCCAGCAAUGCCGCGUGAGUGAUGAAGGCCUUAGGGUUGUAAAGCUCUUUUACCAGGGAUGAUAAUGACAGUACCUGGAGAAUAAGCUCCGGCUAACUCCGUG